UCAGUACCUCGCUAGGUGAGGCUCCUGCGCGAACACAGGCCACUGAUCCGACGACGUCGAGAGACGCCCAGGGUUAGGACAGAUCCUCCCGGAUUAAGGGUUGAUCCGAAGUGGCUUCCCGGACACGGGAUCACGUCGCGCAGUGCCGAAGCCCGACGAGAGGGGUGCGAG
rnacentral:sRNA from 21 species